ensembl:lncRNA
AUGGGCAGGACCUGGGCAUCUGAUCAUGAUGAGAAAGAGCCAUCCAGGUGGUGGGAACGGCAAAAUGAGGGCCUGAAGUGGGAUUUGGGAUCUGCCCCUCACUACUGCCGCUCGGAAACCGAGCAUGGUUCUCUCUUUGUCUCACCGGGUUUUUGCUCACCUCCGGGACCGAAGUUCCUGGAAGCUGGGAUCAGGUCAUACACAUCCGGCGGCCCCCCGGCAGACUGCAGGACAGCAGACAGCGCUCAGGGAACGGUCCCAGAGCUGCACAAGUCAGACGGGCACCUAGGGAAGCAGGAAGGACCGGGGAGAAUGGACUGGAAAGGGGACGUGAGUGGAAGGAGAGGCCGUGGCACCUGCCCAGGCAGGACGAGACAGAAGAACCAAACACAUGCAAUGAGCCUCCAGCAAGGAAAACCAGGUCUAAGACAAAAACAACCCUGCGGGGACCCGUGGAGGAUUAGAUAUUACAGAAAAAAAGAACAUGAACCUGAAGACAUAGCGGUAGAAAUUCUCCAAAAUGCAAAAGAGGAGGAACAGAAGGCAGGUGAGGGAGCACCGAGCGCCGGCGGGUUCUGGCACAACAUCGGGCUGCCCGACACGCGUGCGGUCGGGGUCCCUGACGAACCGCACGAGAUGUCACCACUUGCCCGUUAGAAGAUCUAAAAUGGAAAAGACUCCCCACUCUCAGGGCCGGUGAGGGUGCGGGCAACCGGCACUCCCCCACGGUGUGGGUGAGCGGGUCAGAGCGUCCGUCCACUCUGGAAAACCUUCCGGCGGAUUCUCCUAAAGCUAAGCGUACCUGCGUCUGCCAUGUGACCCGGCCACCCUUCCCGGGAAUUUACCGAAGGGACAUGGGAGGAGACGGCCUCCUAAAGCCUUGUGCACAAACGUUUGUGGCAGCUUUGUUUGUAACAGCCCCAAACCGGAAAUGACCCGGUGCCUUCCGGCAGGGAAAUGGCAAAGAAAGGCCUUGACAGUUGGGAGUGGGGGUCAGGGGGUGGGGUGGGGGGUGGUCUGUUUUUCAGCUGUUGGAGAAAGAACCGUGCCUGGCACCCGGGUUCUGAUCUGCCCCCUCCACUGUUUCCCGGAGUGCCCUUGGGCCAGUGGCACCCCCAUCGGAGCCUUGGAUUCUCCUCUGCGAGCCGUAUCCUGAGUCUGCCUGACCCAGGAGGCCCCGGACAGUCGGCGUGCCAUCGCUGGUGGGGAGCAACUGGCCAACUGGCUCAGCGCAGGGAGGCAGCAGGUGACAGGGUCUCGGCGUCCCUGGGGCCCCUGAGCCCGGGAAGGCGGGAGGGAGCCUGGGAGGCUGGCUGGCUCCGGGCUUGAGGCCCGCUGAGUACAGGUCAGCUGGACAAGCAGGGAGGCCACAGCAGACAGCGGGGCCCGGGCCCUGAAGGGUUGUGUGUGUUGAGCGCAGUGGGCAGGGGCAGGGGUCAUGUUUAACCACAGGAGAGCCCAGGGCAGUGCCUCCUGGCCACAAAGCUGUCCAAAUGGCGUGGGCGGGCGGUCCUUUGGAUGGUCCUGGGACAGAAUAACAAGGCUCUGGUCACUCACCUGACUGGUCACCUAGGGGCAGUUUGAGAGGACAGAGAGGUAGCACUGGCCCCCGGGGGGGUGGGGAUGAUCGGGGUGGGGGGGAGCCCAAAGCCUGCCACAGAGCUCGGGGAGGAGGGCAAGCGCCUCGCCCAGGGCCAGCCGGGCCCAGCCCCCUCCCCCCGGGCCCUCUCCGCUGGCGGCCAGUCCCGCAGGGCCUCGGCCGGGAGACACAGCCCGGGCUCUGCGGGGGCGUCCUUGGGGAUCUGCCCGAGUCCCCACUUCACGUGCUGCGCUGAUGCAUUUCAGAGGCCCCCCCCCAUGCCCAGCACACGGCAGGUGCCCACCCCGCCCCCAGCACCACGUGCUGGACCAACGGCAAACGGGCCAAUGAAGGAAGCAGGGAGCACAGCUUCUCUCCGCACCUCUAGAUUGCGAGCUUUUCUGGAGCAAACUCUGCACCUGGGUCAGGAAAAUUAUUUGUCGUGUCGAUUUUCUAUGGUUGCAUAGCAACUCGCCACCUUCCACGUGAACCACGGGGCGCCUGGGUGGCUCCGGCGAUCAAGCGUCCGACUUCGGCUCAGGUCAUGAUCUCACAGCUCGUGAGUUCCAGCCCCGUGUCGGGCUCUGUGCCGAUGGCCCGGAGCCCGGCGCCUGCUUCGGAUUCUGGGUCUCCCUCCCUCUCUCUGUUCCUCCCCUGCUUGCUCUCUGUCUCUCUCUGUCUGUCAAAAAUAAACGUUAAAAAAAAUUUUUUUUCUGGAACA